UACAGAGGUCUCAAGCGUUGUUCGGAUUCAUUGGGCGUAAAGGGCGCGUAGGCGGGCCACCAAGUCAGGGGUGAAAUCCCACGGCUCAACCGUGGAAGUGCCCUUGAUACUGGUGGCCUCGAGGGAGGCAGGGGCGUGCGGAACUUUGGGUGGAGCGGUGAAAUGCGUAGAUAUCCAAAGGAACACCGGUGGCGAAAGCGGCGCGCUGGACCUCUUCUGACGCUGAGGCGCGAAAGCCAGGGGAGCAAAGCGGG
rnacentral:rRNA from 1 species